ACUGGUGCGCGAGAUGAGUAUUCUAAGGCGCUUGAGAGAACUCUGGAGAAGGAACUCGGCAAAUUGACACCGUAACUUCGGAAGAAGGUGUGCCUUUAGUCAGUGAACCAUUUACUUGGGGAGCUAAACGAGGCCGCAGAGAAUCGGUGGCUGCGACUGUUUAUUAAAAACACAGCACUCUGCAAAGACGAAAGUCGACGUAUAGGGUGUGACGCCUGCCCGGUGCUGGAAGAUUAAAUGAUGGGGUGCAAGCUCUUGACUGAAGUCCCAGUAAACGGCGGCCGUAACAAUAACGGUCCUAAGGUAGCGAAAUUCCUUGUCGGGUAAGUUCCGACCUGCACGAAUGGCGUAACGAUGGCCACACUGUCUCCUCCAGAGACUCAGCGAAGUUGAAAUGUUUGUGAUGAUGCAACCUCCCCGCGGAAAGACGGAAAGACCCCAUGAACCUUUACUGUGGCUUUACAUUGGACUUUGAACAGAUCUGUGUAGGAUAGGUGGGAGGCUUUGAAGUGGUGCCGCUAGGUGCCAUGGAGCCAACGUUGAAAUACCACCCUGGUGUGUUUGAGGUUCUAACCUUGACCCGUUAUCCGGGUUGGGGACAGUGUAUGGUGGGCAGUUUGACUGGGGCGGUCUCCUCCCAAAGCGUAACGGAGGAGUUCGAAGGUACGCUAGGCACGGUCGGAAAUCGUGCUGAUAGUGCAUAGGCAUAAGCGUGCUUGACUGCGAGACUGACAAGUCGAGCAGGUACGAAAGUAGGACUAAGUGAUCCGGUGGUUCUGUAUGGAAGGGCCAUCGCUCAACGGAUAAAAGGUACUCUGGGGAUAACAGGCUGAUACCGCCCAAGAGUUCAUAUCGACGGCGGUGUUUGGCACCUCGAUGUCGGCUCAUCUCAUCCUGGGGCUGUAGCCGGUCCCAAGGGUAUGGCUGUUCGCCAUUUAAAGAGGUACGUGAGCUGGGUUUAAAACGUCGUGAGACAGUUUGGUCCCUAUCUUCCGUGGGCGCUGCAAGAUUGAGAGAGCCUGCUCCUAGUACGAGAGGACCGGAGUGGACGCACCUCUGGUGUAUCGGUUGUCACGCCAGUGGCAUUGCCGAGUAGCUAAGUGCGGAAGAGAUAACCGCUGAAAGCAUCUAAGCGGGAAACUCGUCUCAAGAUGAGUCUUGCCGAGGCCUUAGCCUCCUGAAGAGUCGUUCGAGACCAGGACGUUGAUAGGCUGGGUGUGGAAGUGCAGUAAUGCAUUAAGCUAACCAGUACUAAUUGCUCGUGAGGCUUGACCCA
rnacentral:rRNA from 1 species